UACGAAGGGGGCUAGCGUUGUUCGGAAUUACUGGGCGUAAAGGGCGCGUAGGCGGCGUGUCAAGUCAGGCGUGAAAGCCCCGGGCUCAACCUGGGAACCGCGCUUGAGACUGGCAUGCUCGAGUCCGGAAGAGGUGAGUGGAAUUCCGAAGUGUAGAGGUGAAAUCCGUAGAUAUUCGGAGGAACACCAGUGGCGAAGGCGGGCUCACUGGUCCGGUACU
rnacentral:rRNA from 1 species